UAUAUUUGCAAUCUAUUCAGUGUAAACAGUACAUCUAAAGUUUUGUUAACAGUUAGUUUAUAACUAUGACCAUAUCAAUGAUACUGCAUGUCAACACAGAGGUGCUAACUACUAGGCUGAAGAUACCCUACAGGAGAAACCUCCACCAGUAGUAGCAUCGACAAGUAAUAUUUAAUAAACUCAUCAUAGAUACCAGGAUUGAAAUUGUUUACGCCACUCAACCCAGCCCAGCCCAGACACAAAAAUCCAAAAUAAGUGUCAACAUUGUAAUUUGUCAUAUAAUUUAAAAGUUCACCUCACGAUGAAAAAAUGUUAUAUACAAGUUUGAAGUUGGUGUGACCAAAACAUCAUGAUAAACAAAAUUAAUCAAAAGC
rnacentral:lncRNA from 1 species